rnacentral:rRNA from 1 species
GUAGUCCACGCCGUAAACGAUGAUAACUAGUUGUCGGGGGUCUUAGACCUUCGGUGACGCAGCUAACGCAUUAAGUUAUCCGCCUGGGGAGUACGGUCGCAAGCUUAAAACUCAAAGGAAUUGACGGGGCCCGCACAAGCAGCGGAGCGUGUGGUUUAAUUCGACGCAACGCGAAACACCUCACCCAGAUUUGACAUGUCCGUGCAAGCCAGUGAAAGCUGGUCGCCUUCGAGGGUCGGACACAGAUGCUGCAUGGCUGUCGUCAGCUCGUGUCGUGAGGUGUUGGGUUAAG